CCCGGGCCUUGUACACACCGCCCGUCACACCAUGGGAGUUUGCCUUACCUGAAGACGUGACCCUAACCGCAAGGAGGGGAGCGGCCACGGUCGGGCCGAUGACUGGGGUG
rnacentral:rRNA from 1 species